rnacentral:rRNA from 1 species
UCGAGCGAAUGGAUUAAGAGCUUGCUCUUAUGAAGUUAGCGGCGGACGGGUGAGUAACACGUGGGUAACCUGCCCAUAAGACUGGGAUAACUCCGGGAAACCGGGGCUAAUACCGGAUAACAUUUUGAACCGCAUGGUUCGAAAUUGAAAGGCGGCUUCGGCUGUCACUUAUGGAUGGACCCGCGUCGCAAUAGCUAGUUGGUGAGGUAACGGCUCACCAAGGCAACGAUGCGUAGCCGACCUGAGAGGGUGAUCGGCCACACUGGGACUGAGACACGGCCCAGACUCCUACGGGAGGCAGCAGUAGGGAAUCUUCCGCAAUGGACGAAAGUCUGACGGAGCAACGCCGCGUGAGUGAUGAAGGCUUUCGGGUCGUAAAACUCUGUUGUUAGGGAAGAACAAGUGCUAGUUGAAUAAGCUGGCACCUUGACGGUACCUAACCAGAAAGCCACGGCUAACUACGUGCCAGCAGCCGCGGUAAUACGUAGGUGGCAAGCGUUAUCCGGAAUUAUUGGGCGUAAAGCGCGCGCAGGUGGUUUCUUAAGUCUGAUGUGAAAGCCCACGGCUCAACCGUGGAGGGUCAUUGGAAACUGGGAGACUUGAGUGCAGAAGAGGAAAGUGGAAUUCCAUGUGUAGCGGUGAAAUGCGUAGAGAUAUGGAGGAACACCAGUGGCGAAGGCGACUUUCUGGUCUGUAACUGACACUGAGGCGCGAAAGCGUGGGGAGCAAACAGGAUUAGAUACCCUG